rnacentral:rRNA from 1 species
AGCAGUACAACUGGUGGCGACCGGCGCACGGGUGAGUAACGCGUAUGCAACCCAUCUAUCAGAGGGGAAUAACCCGGCGAAAGUCGGACUAAUACCGCAUAAAACAGGGACACCGCAUGGUGAUAUUUGUUAAAGAAAUUCGCUGAUAGAUGGGCAUGCGUUCCAUUAGGUAGUUGGUGAGGUAACGGCUCACCAAGCCGACGAUGGAUAGGGGAACUGAGAGGUUGGUCCCCCACACUGGUACUGAGACACGGACCAGACUCCUACGGGAGGCAGCAGUGAGGAAUAUUGGUCAAUGGGCGAGAGCCUGAACCAGCCAAGUCGCGUGAAGGAAGAAGGAUCUAUGGUUCGUAAACUUCUUUUGCAGGGGAAUAAAGUGCAGGACGUGUCCUGUUUUGUAUGUACCCUGAGAAUAAGGAUCGGCUAACUCCGUGCCAGCAGCCGCGGUAAUACGGAGGAUCCGAGCGUUAUCCGGAUUUAUUGGGUUUAAAGGGUGCGUAGGUGGUUUGAUAAGUCAGCGGUGAAAGUUUGCAGCUUAACUGUAAAAAUGCCGUUGAAACUGUCGGACUUGAGUGUAAAUGAGGUAGGCGGAAUGCGUGGUGUAGCGGUGAAAUGCUUAGAUAUCACGAAGAACUCCGAUUG